GCCUGGGUGGCGGAAUUGGUAGACGCAAGGGACUUAAAAUCCCUCGGCGCUCAGCGCUGUUCGGGUUCGAUUCCCGUCCCAGGCA
rnacentral:tRNA from 1 species